CCUACGGGCUGCAGCAGUGGGGAAUAUUGCACAAUGGGCGCAAGCCUGAUGCAGCCAUGCCGCGUGUAUGAAGAAGGCCUUAGGGUUGUAAAGUACUUUCAGUUGGGAGGAAGGCGUUGAUGCUAAUAUCAUCAACGAUUGACGUUACCAACAGAGCAAGCACCGGCUAACUCCGUGCCAGCAGCCGCGGUAAUACGGAGGGUGCAAGCGUUAAUCGGAAUUACUGGGCGUAAAGCGCACGCAGGCGGUUGAUUAAGUUAGAUGUGAAAUCCCCGGGCUUAACCUGGGAAUGGCAUCUAAGACUGGUCAGCUAGAGUCUUGUAGAGGGGGGUAGAAUUCCAUGUGUAGCGGUGAAAUGCGUAGAGAUGUGGAGGAAUACCGGUGGCGAAGGCGGCCCCCUGGACAAAGACUGACGCUCAGGUGCGAAAGCGUGGGGAGCAAACUGGAUUAGAUACCCGGGUAGUC
rnacentral:rRNA from 1 species